rnacentral:tRNA from 2 species
GCUGGGGUAGCUCAGUUGGUAGAGCAUCUGCAUGGUAAGCAGAAGGUCGUGGGUUCAAAUCCCAUCCCCAGCU